rnacentral:rRNA from 1 species
UACAGGAUGGACCCGCGUCUGAUUAGCUAGUUGGUAAGGUAACGGCUUACCAAGGCGACGAUCAGUAGCCGACCUGAGAGGGUGAUCGGCCACAUUGGAACUGAGACACGGUCCAAACUCCUACGGGAGGCAGCAGUGGGGAAUAUUGCACAAUGGGCGAAAGCCUGAUGCAGCAACGCCGCGUGAGUGAUGAAGGCCUUCGGGUCGUAAAACUCUGUCCUCAAGGAAGAUAAUGACGGUACUUGAGGAGGAAGCCCCGGCUAACUACGUGCCAGCAGCCGCGGUAAUACGUAGGGGGCUAGCGUUAUCCGGAUUUACUGGGCGUAAAGGGUGCGUAGGCGGUCUUUCAAGUCAGGAGUGAAAGGCUACGGCUCAACCGUAGUAAGCUCUUGAAACUGGGAGACUUGAGUGCAGGAGAGGAGAGUGGAAUUCCUAGUGUAGCGGUGAAAUGCGUAGAUAUUAGGAGGAACACCAGUUGCGAAGGCGGCUCUCUGGACUGUAACUGACGCUGAGGCACGAAAGCGUGGGGAGCAAACAGGAUUAGAUACCCUGGUAGUCCACGCUGUAAACGAUGAGUAC